rnacentral:lncRNA from 1 species
GUGGGUGUAGAGCUGUAUAUAGAGGUGUGGUGGGUGUAGAGCUGUAUAUAGAGGUGUGGUGGGUGUAGAGCUGUAUAUAGAGGUGUGGUGGGUGUAGAGCUGAAUAUAGAGGUGUGGUGGGUGUAGAGCUGAAUAUAGAGGUGUGGUGGGUGUAGAGCUGUAUAUAGAGGUGUGGUGGGUGUAGAGGUGUAUAGAGGUGUGGUGGGUGUAGAGCUGUAUAUAGUGGUGUGGUGGGUGUAGAGGUGUAUAUAGUGGUGUGGUGGGUGUAGAGCUGUAUAUAGAGGUGUGGUGGGUGUACAGGUGUAUAGAGGUGUGGUGGUUGUAGCGCUGUAUAUAGAGGUAUGGUGGGUGUACAGGUGUAUAGAGGUGUGGUGGGUGUACAGGUGUAUAGAGGUGUGGUGGGUGUACAGGUGUAUAGAGGUGUGG